rnacentral:rRNA from 1 species
UACGUAGGGGGCAAGCGUUAUCCGGAUUUACUGGGUGUAAAGGGAGCGUAGACGGCGGAACAAGUCAGAAGUGAAAACCCGGGGCUCAACCCUGGGAGUGCUUUUGAAACUGUUUGGCUGGAGUGCAGGAGAGGUAAGCGGAAUUCCUAGUGUAGCGGUGAAAUGCGUAGAUAUUAGGAGGAACACCAGUGGCGAAGGCGGCUUACUGGACUGUAACUGACGUUGAGGCUCGAAAGCGUGGGGAGCAAACA